rnacentral:rRNA from 1 species
UACGAGGGGUGCAAGCGUUGCUCGGAAUUAUUGGGCGUAAAGCGCACGUAGGCGGUUUGUUAAGUCGGAUGUGAAAUCCCUCGGCUCAACUGAGGAAGUGCAUCCGAAACUGGCAGGCUUGAGUACUAAAGAGGGUCGCGGAAUUCCCGGUGUAGAGGUGAAAUUCGUAGAUAUCGGGAGGAACACCGGUGGCGAAGGCGGCGACCUGGGUAGAUACUGACGCUGAGGUGCGAAAGCGUGGGGAGCAAACAGG